GGCCUCAGCCUGAAAUGAGGUUGUUUUGAGGUCAUCUGAUUUCUGACUAGAAGGUUUGCAAUUUUUUUUGGUGAUGGCAUGUUCAGAAUCUUGGAUCCCUAAGUUCAAUAUAUUGGACAUAUUUAGGAACUCUGGAAAUUAUGUUGUUUUCACAUAUCUAGUAACUUACUAGAUGAAUCAGUAGAUUUCAUUAAAGUAUAUCUAAUAACAGAUAAUUAUGAUGUACUUCUGGGUUGACAUGCAUGUCUCUCAUUAUCAGCUAUCAGUAUUAGUGUCAUGCUUUGGAGACAGUUAUCUUUUGAAGGUUUUGGGGUUCUUAUGAACCUCAUUUUUCCCAGGAAGUUUCUGUAAUUCCUCCUAUGCCUAUUCUUGUCUUUUCUGUCUGCUUGCAGUGUAAGUUAUUUAGAUCAGAGGCAAUUAUUUUUCAGGAAGAAAGAAAUCAUCAAGUGACACUCCUAAAGGCAGUAAAGACAAAAUUUCAGUCUGGAACCGGUCUCAGAAUGGCCUGUAUUAGAAUAUGCAAAGUCCACCCAAAUUAUAUCCAAAUAUACUUGUGGCACAGUGCUACCAGUUUUUAAAAUGAGACGUUACUAUGUAGGGCAGAAGUGCCAAUGAGGAGAGAGAAGGAGCUGUUCAGUUUGCCCUCCAGCCGCCACCUCCUUCUAUUAUUGGCUGAAUGAAUUAGUGCAAAAUUAGUAGCCAAAAGGGUAGACAGUGUGAAUGGAAGGGAGGAGAAGGACAGAAACUUUAAUCUCCAGGAAAGCUUAUUUAUCCUUUAAAAAAUGGAAAGUUGGGCAGGCGCAGUGGCUCACGCCUGUAAUGCCAGCACUUUGGGAGGCCGAGGCGGGCAGAUCACGAGGUCAGG
rnacentral:lncRNA from 10 species